GGGGAUUUAGCUCAGCGGCAUAAGCGCCUGCCUUGCAAGCAGGUGGUCGUGAGUUCAAUCCCCG
rfam:Cavia porcellus supercont2_27 genomic scaffold, whole genome shotgun sequence.